AUUGAACGCUGGCGGAAUGCUUUACACAUGCAAGUCGAACGGCAGCACGGACUUCGGUCUGGUGGCGAGUGGCGAACGGGUGAGUAAUGUAUCGGAACGCGCCCAGUCGUGGGGGAUAACGUAGUGAAAAUUACGCUAAUACCGCAUACGAUCUAUGGAUGAAAGCGGGGGAUCGCAAGACCUCGCGCGAUUGGAGCGGCCGAUAUCAGAUUAGGUAGUUGGUGGGGUAAAGGCCCACCAAGCCAACGAUCUGUAGCUGGUCUGAGAGGACGACCAGCCACACUGGAACUGGGACACGUUCCAGACUCCUACGGGAGGCAGCAGUGGGGAAUUUUGGACAAUGGGCGAAAGCCUGAUCCAGCCAUUCCGCGUGCAGGAUGAAGGCCCUCGGGUUGUAAACUGCUUUUGUACAGAACGAAAAGGUUUCUACUAAUACUAGGAGCUCAUGACGGUACUGUAAGAAUAAGCACCGGCUAACUACGUGCCAGCCGCCGCGGUAA
rnacentral:rRNA from 1 species